UGAAAAUGGCUUUCCCAUUCCAAAUUUGAACGUGAUCUAACCACCAGGAUAGUUCUGUUCUUGUCUCUGAAGUUAGAGAAAUCUCGUCUGAAUAGAGGAGACCGUUGCGUAGAUGUUCUCUUUUCAAUCUUUGAAGAGCCCGAUAGUGAAGGGGGGCUGGAAAGAUAGCCUGGAUCGAGGCUGAUAAAAGACCUACAAUCCGUGCUAAAGACCUGAUGGAAAUUAAUUCCUUAUUUAGAACUGGCCUGAUCUCUUUUUGAAUCGUUUUCAAUUUCCGUGAUGGAAGGCUGAGAGUGGCUAAAUUGGAAUUCACUAGAAAUCCUAAAAAUUCUAUCUCCUGAGAGG